GCUCCCAUCGUCUAGUAGGCUUAGGACACAGGAUUUUCAAUCCUGCAACACGAGUUCAAAUCUCGUUGGGAGCA
rnacentral:tRNA from 1 species